GAGAGCUGAGAGAGGGAAUACAAUAGAGAGAGAAGAAAACAAAAGGGAGAAGAAGGCAGAAGCAAGAAGGAGAAGCCUAGUGACAUAUGGUACGUAGUGCAAGUGUAAUACUAAGCUGUCAUUUUAGUUUUCCUUGUUUUCAACCUGGCUAAAUCUUUUUUGGUUCUUCUUUCUGUUUUUGUUCCUUUUAUGAUCUAUUUUCUUAUCACAUAUGGUAAGUCUAUGAGUGCUUGCUGUUUAUGUUAAGCUUUAAGUCCAGAAUGAUUAGUUUCCUUUUUUGUAGUUUAAUCUUGCUGGUGAGUUAGGUUGUGGGGUGGGAAAGUUUGUUCCUCGGCUUUUCUAUGGUUUAAAGUCAAUUUUCCUAGGAUGGCCAUGGAGCUUUCCUUUCUCCUUUUGGUUAUGGUAAGAGGUACGUAUGU
rnacentral:lncRNA from 1 species